AGAUCUGUCCUGCUGCAGCCUUUCCUGUAGAUCUGUUGAUGGAGAUCUCACCCGCACCUCAAACGACCUCAGAUCAACUCCAGAUCUGAGAGAAACUUGUACCAAUCUCGUAGCAAGAGAUUUCAAGUCCUGGACCUGAUGUUUGGACAGCUGCAAGAGAGGGAGAGGCAAUAUGGUUGGCGGCACAAAGGGGGAGGGGCUCAAAACCCUAGCGCCUCCCUUGCUUUUCCUGCCUUCUAUGGACCUGACGGCAAGAAACCCUAGGGUUUCUUGCUCCUGGGGCAUGGAGAAUAGCUGAAGAGAGAGGAAGAAGAG
rnacentral:lncRNA from 1 species